UUCCAGAGAGGACACAGAAGUCUGUUGUCCUGUCUUCAGCACAGAGCCUGUAAUGAUGAAGCAAGCCACAGGGCUGGCUGAAGAGAAGCUUGUUCCAGAAGGGACUAUCUGGGGGAC
ensembl:snoRNA SNORD22 Small nucleolar RNA SNORD22